rnacentral:rRNA from 1 species
UUAAAUGGCCGCGGUAUUUUGACCGUGCUAAGGUAGCAUAAUCAUUAGUUUUUUUAUUGAAAGCUAGAAUGAAGGGUUGGAUGAAAAAAUAACUGUCUCUAAUUAAAUUUUAUAGAAUUUUAUUUUUAAGUUAAAAAGCUUAAAUUUUAUUAAAAGACGAGAAGACCCUAUAGAGUUUUAUAUAUUUAUUAUAAUUUUUUUUAGGAUUAAUUUUAAUUUUUGUUAAGUAUAUUUGGUUGGGGUGAUUAAAAAAUUUAUUAAACUUUUUUUUAUUUUUAUAUUAAUAUAUAGGUAUUUGAUUUGAGUUAUUUUGAUUAAAAGAAAAAAUUACCUUAGGGAUAACAGCGUAAUUUUAUUAGAGAGUU